UACGUAGAAGACUAGUGUUAUUCAUCUUUAAUAGGUUUAAAGGGUCCUAGAGGUAUAAUUAGUCUUAAACAGGAUACGAUUAUACUAGAGUUAUAAUAUGAGGAGGUGAGUAUUUAUGCAGUGAGAGUUGAAAUUCGUUGAUAGCAUAACGUCUGGUAACGGCGAAAGCAACCUUUUAUCUAAUAACUGACGUUGAGGGACGAAGGCUCGGGUAAGAACAGG
rnacentral:rRNA from 1 species